rnacentral:rRNA from 1 species
UACGAAGGGGGCUAGCGUUGCUCGGAAUCACUGGGCGUAAAGGGUGCGUAGGCGGGUCUUUAAGUCAGGGGUGAAAUCCUGGAGCUCAACUCCAGAACUGCCUUUGGUACUGGAGAGCUUGAGUCCGGAAGAGGUGAGUGGAACUCCGAGUGUAGAGGUGAAAUUCGUAGAUAUUCGCAAGAACAUCAGUGGCGAAGGCGGCUCACUGGCCCGAUACUGACGCUGAGGCACGAAAGCGUGGGGAGCAAACAGG